rnacentral:rRNA from 1 species
GAAGUGAUUGGCAGCUAUGAGUUUAUACUUGGUAUGGUCAUUUGGCAUGUCAUUCUAUUUGUUGUAGAUACAGUGAGCAUGAAGUUGCAAUCACCAUCCAUGUGUGUUGAGUCCCCCAUAAUACAAAUAGAAGGUAUGAGGAAUUACUUUGACACUUGCAGAAAUGAAGGGUUUGAUUCUAGUGUGAUCAUUGCUAAAGAAAUCGCAACUAAAAUAGAUGUUGAGCCAUCAUUUCCAGUAAAGCUUCGUACUCCCAGGAAGAAGCAAUUUGAUGAAAUUGAUCAUCUUAGAACCAAGAUUGAGAAGGAUUUUGAAGUUAAUUAGUUUUUGUUUAUGGUUGAUAAGGCAACCAAUUCAUUGAAAAGCUUAUUCGAGGAACUCCAAAUCAUUCAUACACAUAUUUGGAAUUUUAAUGAGUUUAACGGCCUUGAAGUUAUUGAACCGUUCUGA